GAUGAACGCUGGCGGCGUGCCUAAUACAUGCAAGUCGAGCGAACGGACGAGAAGCUUGCUUCUCUGAUGUUAGCGGCGGACGGGUGAGUAACACGUGGAUAACCUACCUAUAAGACUGGGAUAACUUCGGGAAACCGGAGCUAAUACCGGAUAAUAUUUUGAACCGCAUGGUUCAAAAGUGAAAGACGGUCUUGCUGUCACUUAUAGAUGGAUCCGCGCUGCAUUAGCUAGUUGGUAAGGUAACGGCUUACCAAGGCAACGAUGCAUAGCCGACCUGAGAGGGUGAUCGGCCACACUGGAACUGAGACACGGUCCAGACUCCUACGGGAGGCAGCAGUAGGGAAUCUUCCGCAAUGGGCGAAAGCCUGACGGAGCAACGCCGCGUGAGUGAUGAAGGUCUUCGGAUCGUAAAACUCUGUUAUUAGGGAAGAACAUAUGUGUAAGUAACUGUGCACAUCUUGACGGUACCUAAUCAGAAAGCCACGGCUAACUACGUGCCAGCAGCCGCGGUAAUACGUAGGUGGCAAGCGUUAUCCGGAAUUAUUGGGCGUAAAGCGCGCGUAGGCGGUUUUUUAAGUCUGAUGUGAAAGCCCACGGCUCAACCGUGGAGGGUCAUUGGAAACUGGAAAACUUGAGUGCAGAAGAGGAAAGUGGAAUUCCAUGUGCAGCGGUGAAAUGCGCAGAGGUAUGGAGGAACACCAGUGGCGAAGGCGACUUUCUGGUCUGUAACUGACGCCGAUGUGCGAAAGCGUGGGGAUCAAACAGGAUUAGAUACCCUGGUAGUCCACGCCGUAAACGAUGAGUGCUAAGUGUUAGGGGGUUUCCGCCCCUUAGUGCUGCAGCUAACGCAUUAAGCACUCCGCCUGGGGAGUACGACCGCAAGGUUGAAACUCAAAGGAAUUGACGGGGACCCGCACAAGCGGUGGAGCAUGUGGUUUAAUUCGAAGCAACGCGAAGAACCUUACCAAAUCUUGACAUCCUUUGACAACUCUAGAGAUAGAGCCUUCCCCUUCGGGGGACAAAGUGACAGGUGGUGCAUGGUUGUCGUCAGCUCGUGUCGUGAGAUGUUGGGUUAAGUCCCGCAACGAGCGCAACCCUUAAGCUUAGUUGCCAUCAUUAAGUUGGGCACUCUAAGUUGACUGCCGGUGACAAACCGGAGGAAGGUGGGGAUGACGUCAAAUCAUCAUGCCCCUUAUGAUUUGGGCUACACACGUGCUACAAUGGACAAUACAAAGGGCAGCGAAACCGCGAGGUCAAGCAAAUCCCAUAAAGUUGUUCUCAGUUCGGAUUGUAGUCUGCAACUCGACUACAUGAAGCUGGAAUCGCUAGUAAUCGUAGAUCAGCAUGCUACGGUGAAUACGUUCCCGGGUCU
rnacentral:rRNA from 1 species